AAUCUUCCGCAUUGGACGAAAGUCUGACGGAGCAACGCCGCGUGAGUGCUGAAGCCUUCCGGGUCGAAACACCCUGUUGUUAGGGAAGAAGAAGUACGAGAGUACCUGCUCGUACCUUGACGGUACCUAACCAGAAAGCCACGGCUAACUACGUGCCAGCAGCCGCGGUAAUACGUAGGUGGCAAGCGUUAUCCGGAAUUAUUGGUCGUAAAGCGCGCGCAGGCGGUUUCUUAAGUCUGAUGUGAAGGCCCACGGCUCAACCGUGGAGGGUCAUUGGAAACUGGGGAACUUGAGUGCAGAAGAGAAAAGCGGAAUUCCACGUGUAGCGGUGAAAUGCGUAGAGAUGUGGAGGAACACCAGUGGCGAAGGCGGCUUUUUGGUCUGUAACUGACGCUGAGGCGCGAAAGCGUGGGGAGCAAACAGG
rnacentral:rRNA from 1 species